AACUCAUUGCAUGAAAAACAUAAUAUCAAGUUUUAUCAUCAUGCAGUUUUGAAGCCAGAAAAUUUAGCAAAUGUUACAUCAUGCUUAGAACAUUCAAGCUAUCAAGUUUUAGAUAUGCAAGUUUUAUAGCAUACAAGAUAGCACUUUUAGAACAUGCAAGCUAGCAAUGUUACAACAUUUUAGAACUUGCAAGCUAGCAAUUUAGAGAUGUUCAAGAAGGCAACUCUUGCUUCUUGAAAUAUGCAAGUUGCAAGCUAGCAAAUUUUUACGAUAUGCAAGUUUUGCUUCUUGAGAUAGGCAAGAUAGCACUUUUGCAAUUUUUG
rnacentral:lncRNA from 1 species